rnacentral:rRNA from 1 species
CCUUAUCUUAGCGGCGGACGGGUGAGUAAUGCUUAGGAAUCUGCCUAUUAGUGGGGGACAACAUUCCGAAAGGAAUGCUAAUACCGCAUACGCCCUACGGGGGAAAGCAGGGGAUCUUCGGACCUUGCGCUAAUAGAUGAGCCUAAGUCGGAUUAGCUAGUUGGUGGGGUAAAGGCCUACCAAGGCGACGAUCUGUAGCGGGUCUGAGAGGAUGAUCCGCCACACUGGGACUGAGACACGGCCCAGACUCCUACGGGAGGCAGCAGUGGGGAAUAUUGGACAAUGGGCGGAAGCCUGAUCCAGCCAUGCCGCGUGUGUGAAGAAGGCCUUUUGGUUGUAAAGCACUUUAAGCGAGGAGGAGGCUACUUAGAUUAAUACUCUAGGAUAGUGGACGUUACUCGCAGAAUAAGCACCGGCUAACUCUGUGCCAGCAGCCGCGGUAAUACAGAGGGUGCGAGCGUUAAUCGGAUUUACUGGGCGUAAAGCGUGCGUAGGCGGCUGAUUAAGUCGGAUGUGAAAUCCCUGAGCUUAACUUAGGAAUUGCAUUCGAUACUGGUCAGCUAGAGUAUGGGAGAGGAUGGUAGAAUUCCAGGUGUAGCGGUGAAAUGCGUAGAGAUCUGGAGGAAUACCGAUGGCGAAGGCAGCCAUCUGGCCUAAUACUGACGCUGAGGUACGAAAGCAUGGGGAGCAAACAGGAUUAGAUACCCUGGUAGUCCAUGCCGUAAACGAUGUCUACUAGCCGUUGGGGCCUUUGAGGCUUUAGUGGCGCAGCUAACGCGAUAAGUAGACCGCCUGGGGAGUACGGUCGCAAGACUAAAACUCAAAUGAAUU